AGCGAACGCUGGCGGCAGGCUUAACACAUGCAAGUCGAGCGGGUGUAGCAAUACAUCAGCGGCAGACGGGUGAGUAACGCGUGGGAACGUACCUUUUGGUUCGGAACAACACAGGGAGACUUGUGCUAAUACCGGAUAAGCCCUUACGGGGAAAGAUUUAUCGCCGAAAGAUCGGCCCGCGUCUGAUUAGCUAGUUGGUAGGGUAACGGCCUACCAAGGCGACGAUCAGUAGCUGGUCUGAGAGGAUGAUCAGCCACAUUGGGACUGAGACACGGCCCAAACUCCUACGGGGGGCAGCAGUGGGGAAUAUUGGACAAUGGGGGCAACCCUGAUCCAGCCAUGCCGCGUGAGUGAUGAAGGCCCUGGGGUUGUAAAGCUCUUUUGUGCGGGAAGAUAAUGACGGUACCGCAAGAAUAAGCCCCGGCUAACUUCGUGCCAGCCGCCGCCGUAACAC
rnacentral:rRNA from 1 species